rnacentral:lncRNA from 1 species
AGUUAGUGUUUCAGCAGUCGAAGGAGAUGGGAAAGUUGUAAAACAACUAAACUAAGGAUAUUGCAAACUAAAUUUCGGCUCAACUCUGGUUUUACGUUUUUUAGAGACUUCUCGAAGACUUCAUCAAUCAUCUGCUUGUUUGCAUGAAAAGAUAAAGAGUAAUUGAUAGAAUAUUGAAGACACUACAGGAACCUCUAACGCGCGUUUACACGUGAGAUCAUCAAUUUGAUUAUUGUAGACGUAAAUAAUUGUAAUCUAAACACAUAUCGCCCGUGCAUGAUAAUAUGCUUAGAUAUGUGUAGUGUUACAUUCCCAUUUAAUAUUCUUUUAUUUCAUCAGCUGGGAAUGCUUUGUUUCGCUGGGAUUAACUUUCUAUUUUAAUUGUCAUUCAAGGAUAUAAAAAGGUUGCUAACCUGGUAUUAAGGUAAGUAAUCGUAAGAGAAUGCAUUUGUUAUUAUUACAAAUAUAACGCAUCUUUUUGUUAUACAGUGCAUGCGGAAAUACAAUUGUUUUGAUUGGAACAUUUUUAGAAAAUCAUAAGAUUGUUAUAAUAAUAUGUAAAUAUAGAAUCAUUUCAAUUCUUUAAAACACAAUCUUAAUACAAGAAACCAAAUCUGUUAAACGUUUGCUUUAUUUUCUCAAGUGUUCAGACUUGUUUGGUUUUAAUGUUACAAUCCUGAAAGGAUCAUUAUUUAUUUUAUAUUUUUUGAAAACAAAACAAAUUUUACUGCACUCAACACUGUUUCUUUAGUAAUAAAAGAUGAAUUAGGAAAGAGUUAUGUAAAUUUCAACGAGACAGCAAACCAAUGAAACGAACUACCAAACAUGAAAAGGACCAACUUAUUAAGGUACAUUUGUCCUAUGCAUAGCUCACACUAUAUAAUCAACAUAUUAUUCUGUAAAAAGCCAUAGUUACUGAACAUAAGCUCAAAGUAUUUAACCUGCUGAUUUGAAACCAUGCCCUCCUAUACCAAAAUAUGUUGCUGUGCGUCAUAGAAGAUUUCAUGCAGCAAAGAUAUUCAAGUACUCAGAAAUCCCUUUAUAAUUCUGAUAUUAUGAUAAAACAUGGAAAUUCAACUGUAAAGAAGUAUUAAAAAAGUAAAUAUAAAUGACAUGAACUUGCGUGGCAUUUUUUAAGCUUUUAAUUUUCAAAUAUUUUGGAUUGAGAGACAUUUAUUGUCGAAAUGCGCAUCUGUUGUUGAAAAUUGGUACUGUCAAUAUGUUAUUGGGUCGUCUCUGAAUCUGUGUAUCUAAAUUAUUGUUUUACUCUAGUGUGUGUGUGCACAUUGUAUCAUUGAUCUAUAAACACAGUUUUUCGCUUUAUAUAUACAUUUGAACGAGCUCGAGAGGAGUUAACAAUCUUAAAAGAAUAACGAACAUGUACCACAUCUUCUUAUUUAUAUUUAGAUUUGGGAUUCUAUAUGUUAUUCAGGUCUCAGACAGGGUAAAUACUGUGACAUUCCCGACUUAAGAGUUUAAAUCCCCUGAGCAAUUGAGGAUAAACACGUCGUAUAUAUAUAUAUUCAUCUGUAGUUUCCUGAAUAUAUACUGACAUCUCUGUGUUGUUAUCCAAUCACAAACCUCGACAAAUUUGUAAUCCGUAAUAUAUAUGUAUGUAUAGCUGUUCGAAAAAAAGAAAAAAAAAAACGAAAUAUAGGAAUGGAUAGAUAUAUCUAUUAUAAAGGGUCAACCUACUACCUUCAACAAUAAACAAGUUUAUUUAUGUAUUAUUGUCAUUUUGUUUAUUUUCUUUUGUUUCAUAUUCUGACAUCGGACUUCUCUUAAACUGAGUUUUACUGUGCGUUUUGUUGUGCGUUUGUUUUUCUACAUGGCCUAGAGGUAUAGGGGGAGGGUUGAGAUCUGAAAAAAAAAACAUGUUUAACCCCUCCGCAAUUUUGCACCUGUCCCAAGUCAGAAACCUCUGGCCUUUGUUGGUCUGGUAUUAUUUUUAAUUUUAGUUUCUUGUGUAUAAUUCGGAGUUUAGUGUCCAUUAUCACAGAACUAGUAUGCAUAUUUGUUUAGGGGCCAGCUGAAGGACGCCUCCGGGUGAGGGAGUUUCUCGCUACAUUGAAGACCCAUUAGUGGCUGCGGCUGUUGUCUGCUCUAUGGUCGGGUUGUUGUCGCUUUGACACAUUCCCCAUUGCCAUUUUAAAUUGUAUUCUAUACUCUUCGUCAAGCUCUAAAUCUCCCGAGACAAACAUAUAGUUGUCAAUGGAUUUGAUAGAGACAUCAGCUGAGCUGUUAUAAUCACAAGAUGCAUUAGAAGAAAAAUCAAGGAAAUGUAAAAAAAAAAAAACAACAAACAAAAAAACAUAGCCAUGAAAACACAAAUAAAUUCAACUAUAAUAGACGACAAGUGAAAAAUUCCUAGCUACAGCCAGGAACAUUAACAUACUGCAGAAUGAAAUACAUUUUGUAAUUCAGUUAUUUUGAGCAAGAUUCUAUCCUUUCAUCAACUGAAAUUAAAAUAUCAAGGUUGAUAAAGAAAAUUCUAUACAUCAUCAAGAAUGUCUGAUUAUAGCUGCUUUCAUUACAUGAACCGUAUAGAUUGCAUAAUAGAGGGUGUGGGUUGGAAUGACUGAAUAGAGCAUAAUGGGAAAAAGUGUAGUAUAUAGGGAGAGAAAUAUAUUGAAUUGAAGAACAUAUGCCAAAAUUAAAAAAAAGUAAGAAGAAUAAUAGGCGUAGAAAUACAAAGGAAACAGAAUAAGGGUAAAAAAAAGUUAAAAAGUUGAAGAAUAAAUAUAAGUAUUAAGGACUUCCCCAUGCAGACCUUCAAAGUACUGUGUACAUGUAACUAAGUAUAUCAUUAUAAGCUGUCUCAUAAUGUAACUCUCUAUAUUGUCUAGCUUAAGUUGUGGUUAUUUUUACCAUUUGAUCGAUGCAUCCCAAAUUAAAGUUCGAAAAAAAUACUUGGACUAGGACAGUUUUUUUCUCUCGGUAACAAUGAACCGAAAUAAAAGUGUAGUACUGGAAUGUUUUUUGAAACGCAACGGUUUUAAUGAACGGACAUUUAUAAGCGAUAAAAGACAACACUAACGAUUAAUGCAACAUGUGCAAUUAACAAGUAAAAUAUAGAACAAAUAAUACUUAAUAUUUUUCAUGUAACCAAGGAAACAGUGAACAAAUUAAUGAGAGAUAAAAAAUGAACGUUUCAAGCAUGCUUCAUAGAGUUAUAAUUAUUUAUUAACCAACUAAGUACACUAUUGCCAAAAAUGACAAAAAAAAAUUAUAUAUUUUCUGUAAUGGCCCUGUUUUUUCUGUAAUGGCCCUGUUUUUCUGUAAUGACCCUGUUUUUUUCUGUAAUGGUCCUGUUUUUCUGUAAUGGUCCUGUUUUUCUGUAAUGGCCCUAUAUGAAUGCCCAGUUUGUCUGUAUUAAACCCAGUUAGCGUUUUUAAUAAAGUUAAGAAAAUUGAGUUGUAAAGAGUAUAAUACCUUUUUGUAUUUUAUUUAAUUUAGUAACACUCAACCAACAUUAAAGAACCAUAUAAAGGGAACACUGUUCAUCCUGUUUUUCAACACAUAACUUCUUUCAACUUAAUAUCUUGGAUAUUUGGUAUAUUUAAAGCUUUAUCAUGGUGAAGUACAAAUUAUUUUUUUUCAAAACUAAACUGUCAUUAAAAGACAAGUUGGCAGCAACACAUACACUUUUGUUCAGUUGGUUAAUAAAUGUAUUGAAAAAUGGGUGUUUUUAUAAUGGCCCUGUUAUAUGUCCUCGGUCAGUAAUAAUGGCCUCGGAUGUCUGUAAUGACCCUUAGCGUUGCCUCGGGCCAUUACAGACUUCCUCGACCAUUAUUACAGACCUUAGUACUAUAGUAUUAAAUCGAUAAAGAUAGUACGAAUUAUACAAAAAGCAUGCACUAAACAUGCUUGUAUUUUUCAGUGUAAAUUCAUGAGCAGAACAGGGAAACACUGAAAAAUUGACAAACAUAUAUAGGUAAACAAUAUACUAGUAUCACAUUUGCUGUAACGAAAGUUCCUGGUUCGAAGGCAGAACCGGGAAAUAACAUUUCAGUUCUAGAAACAAUCGAUAUUAAAAGCAUACGAUUGCAUGGUCAAUUUUUGAAAUGCAGCGUACAUGUUCGAAGAAACAUAGGAUAUUCCAGAGUAUUCAUAAACCGUGACAAACGUGGCUUGGUAUGCCGCUUAUGUUAUGAUGUUGUGCUGAUAUCUAUAGUAAAUAUAAAUUUCAUAUGUGUUUGCAGUCAUGUAUACUAGUAUCAUGACAUAUACAUGUAGAACGUUGUUCUGUCAGAACAUGUGUAUUGCCGAUUGUAUGGCACUAACGUCUACAAAGGAAAAAGGUCAACAUGCCACUCUUUUUUUCCUAUUUUAUAAGCUCGUAUACAUAAAUUCGAAGUAUCUGAAGUAUUUGAACUGCAGUACACGUAUAUUGUAUACUAGUAUUGACUGUUAUAAUGGUGUAUUUCUCAUUCGAUUAAGGAUGUUUGCUACUCCUGUUUAUAACAUUUUGUCAGAUAUUUGAAUUACUAUAGUUUUAUCCAUGUAAUUCCAAUAAAAGUUCCACUAACUCCUACUUUUCGUUCAUAACUUUAUAACAUAUUAAAAAGCCAAUUUCGAAUAUCUUUGUUAUAAUAUUUUUCAUAGUUUUUGAGGGCUUUUUUGAGAGCUUUUAAUGAAAAUGUGUAAAAAAUCUAGUUAUAAUCAUUUCCGCCAGAUUUUUGAUUUAUUAUAUUUAAAAAAACAAGUACACGGCUUUAUUAGUACCGAAAUUAUCAACUAUCAAUUUCCAAUAGUCUUUUAAAAAGAUGGAUAUUUUUAAUUAGAGGCACAACCGGUAUCCUUAAGACACUUUCUUAUAAUUAACACAUCACGUGAGUGUAUUUAUGUUUUACCAAGUCUUUCAAGGUUUAUACUUUUAGAAGAUAAUAUUCAGCAAAACAAAAACACAUUUCACACCCAAAAAAUCGAAUAAACCCAAAUUCACUCCAUAUCUUGAACUUAAGACUAAUGUUCUGCGAGGUUAACAUUACGCACGUGUAUUUGUUGUAUAUAAAGAGGAAUUAAUUUCUCGAUUUAUCUAAAAUAAAUGCUUAAAUGUUAAUAACGUUAACAAAUUGUUGAAAACACAUUAUGUUCUGACAUUGCAGCUUCAUUUAUCAAACGUAUGCCAAAAUCUGCACAUAAAACAAAAACAGUCUGAAUGCAGAUUGCAUAACUCUAAUUUUCUUUCAACAAACUACUAGUUUUAGCAGAAGAAAAAAAAAUCAUCCAUUUGGUUUCAAAUCUAUAAAUUCUAUUUAAAAAAAGAAAGAAAUAAUUUUGUAAUGGAUGAUUUAGUGAUGAAGUGUACCCAUUCAACCUAAUUAUUGCUUUCAGGAACUCUUUACGCCAAAAUAGUUCUCAUCAUAUUAUGACGUUUCGUUGGUGAGAUGAUUUUGGAGUGGUAAAGAGGAAAGAAUGUCAGGAGAAUUUCUUUGUAAAUUACGUCAAAUUUAUGGUGAGUAAUGUUUUAAU